UGGGGAAUAUUGGACAAUGGGCGCAAGCCUGAUCCAGCCAUGCCGCGUGAGUGAUGAAGGCCCUAGGGUUGUAAAGCUCUUUCACCGGUGAAGAUAAUGACGGUAACCGGAGAAGAAGCCCCGGCUAACUUCGUGCCAGCAGCCGCGGUAAUACGAAGGGGGCUAGCGUUGUUCGGAUUUACUGGGCGUAAAGCGCACGUAGGCGGACUAUUAAGUCAGGGGUGAAAUCCCGGGGCUCAACCCCGGAACUGCCUUUGAUACUGGUAGUCUUGAGUUCGAGAGAGGUGAGUGGAAUUCCGAGUGUAGAGGUGAAAUUCGUAGAUAUUCGGCGGAACACCAGUGGCGAAGGCGGCUCACUGGCUCGAUACUGACGCUGAGGUGCGAAAGCGUGGGGAGCAAACAGG
rnacentral:rRNA from 1 species